rnacentral:rRNA from 1 species
UGAACGCUGGCGGCGUGCCUAAUACAUGCAAGUCGAGCGAACAGAUAAGGAGCUUGCUCCUUUGACGUUAGCGGCGGACGGGUGAGUAACACGUGGGUAACCUACCUAUAAGACUGGAAUAACUCCGGGAAACCGGGGCUAAUGCCGGAUAACAUGUUGAACCGCAUGGUUCUACAGUGAAAGGCGGCUUUGCUGUCACUUAUAGAUGGACCCGCGCCGUAUUAGCUAGUUGGUGAGGUAACGGCUCACCAAGGCAACGAUACGUAGCCGACCUGAGAGGGUGAUCGGCCACACUGGAACUGAGACACGGUCCAGACUCCUACGGGAGGCAGCAGUAGGGAAUCUUCCGCAAUGGGCGAAAGCCUGACGGAGCAACGCCGCGUGAGUGAUGAAGGUCUUCGGAUCGUAAAACUCUGUUAUUAGGGAAGAACAAAUGCGUAAGUAACUGUGCGCGUCUUGACGGUACCUAAUCAGAAAGCCACGGCUAACUACGUG